CCUAUUCGGUGUUCGCGGCAGCGCCAGUUUGCUUCCCGGUGAUCAUGGCAGCGGCGGCGGCGGGGGCAAAGGCCGUGCGGGGCCGUCCAAGCGCGCGACCACGUAGGUCGACUCCGCCAGACCGCCACUCCGGCAGUCCGGCCUCUGUGUCACCGGAAACUUGUCCCGAUAAGUAUACCCCCUCCAUGUCUUGUGAUCUGAACUGCUGUUUGCCUGUUUCUCCCUUACGAUAAGUUACAUCCGUCCACAGCAUUUCAUGAAUUGAAUGGUGUAAGUGGUAAUCUAUGGUGUCUCCAUCGGUGGAGGCGUGGGAGAUCCGAGAUCCGACUGAAGGCUGCAAACACGAAUACCAUUGCUCUCAUCAAUUAUAAAUCACAAAUCGCUAUAUAUUCCAUUUCUGCAAACUGCAACGCUAACAGUUUUUGUUCCAUUCGAUUCUUCAUUUUCUGCUGAGUCUUGUCUUAUUGGUGAUCGGACAAAUUAAUUACACGAUGGGAACAGUGGCCUGUGGAGGACACAUUUGUUAAAUUGUCAUAUUCAAUGCAAGGUAGAGAAUGCGGGUUCCAUUGACAUAAUCACGGAAUGGCACAUCUCAUAGAUAACCCAUUCUGUCGAGCUGCUACCUGUAUAUCGUAUCUUCAAAACAUGACAUGAAAUUUGCACUUGAUAUAUUUGUUGUUUCCGAACAAUAAGAUAGAACCUGAUCUUUCAUGUUUUCUUUCGAAACAUUAAGGAAAAUUAGUGUGCACUGGGCAGUGGGCAGAUAUGCAGUUGGUUCUCCUGUCCAUGAACAAUUACCAUCUCAAGGGAAUUAAGAAGGUAUGGGAUUCAAUAAUAGUUAUUCUUGUCACUCUGUAUUUUCUUUCUUUUGUUGGAGUACUUAUUUCAAACUCCCUCCUCUAUUAAUGCAAGCUGGACAGGGUCCUGCCAGCAAUUUAAAAAAAAAAGAGAGAAGUAAUUCUUGUGUUUAGGUUGCUCUUUUUGAAGUUUUAGAGGAUAGCUGGAUCUAGAUGUGCUAUAUAUUUGUUUUUUAAAAGAUCAUGCACCCGGAAUUUACAGCAUAGUUAAUCAGCUCAAUUGCCAGAAAAGCUGCACGAAUAUGAUGGAUAAGUGCAUCGACGUCUGAACAAAUUUACUCUAUUAAUUGAGGCAUGCUGCCUAGGCAAUGUAGAUUCGUGAUGAGUCCUUGAUAUGUUGUCUUCAAGGGACGUCGAUCUGGACUUCUGGACUCCAGAUGGCCAUACUGCCAGAAGUCCAUGGGUUUGCUAGUGCUUCCUA
rnacentral:lncRNA from 1 species